rnacentral:rRNA from 1 species
AGUGGGAGCCUCUUUUAUGGGGUGACUGCGUACCUUUUGUAUAAUGGGUCAGCGACUUAUAUUCUGUAGCAAGGUUAACCGAAUAGGGGAGCCGAAGGGAAACCGAGUCUUAACUGGGCGUUAAGUUGCAGGGUAUAGACCCGAAACCCGGUGAUCUAGCCAUGGGCAGGUUGAAGGUUGGGUAACACUAACUGGAGGACCGAACCGACUAAUGUUGAAAAAUUAGCGGAUGACUUGUGGCUGGGGGUGAAAGGCCAAUCAAACCGGGAGAUAGCUGGUUCUCCCCGAAAGCUAUUUAGGUAGCGCCUCGUGAAUUCAUCUCCGGGGGUAGAGCACUGUUUCGGCAAGGGGGUCAUCCCGACUUACCAACCCGAUGCAAACUGCGAAUACCGGAGAAUGUUAUCACGGGAGACACACGGCGGGUGCUAACGUCCGUCGUGAAGAGGGAAACAACCCAGACCGCCAGCUAAGGUCCCAAAGUCAUGGUUAAGUGGGAAACGAUGUGGGAAGGCCCAGACAGCCAGGAUGUUGGCUUAGAAGCAGCCAUCAUUUAAAGAAAGCGUAAUAGCUCACUGGUCGAGUCGGCCUGCGCGGAAGAUGUAACGGGGCUAAACCAUGCAC